GCUAUUUUGUCAGCAAAGGAGUUCCGUUUGCCUCUGGUGUCUCUGUGUUUUGGUGGCCUCUGUAAUGUAUGGUAGCCACUUUCUCUGGUAACCAGAGGGCUUUUUAGCAAAGCUAAUAUCUCCUUCAGCAUGUUUGAUAUCUUUUCCUCUUGAAGUUAAUAGUCCUCUCUCUUUAUAGAUAUCUCCAUGUACAUGAACAGUAGCAAAGGCAUACCUACUGUCAGUACAGAUAUUAACAGUCUUUCCUUUGUCGGGUCUGAGAGCCUGGGUACGUGCCAUUAGUUCUGCCUUUUGUGCAGAAUUUCCAUGUCCCAGAACUUGAGCCCAGAUAAUUUAAGGUAAUUAUAGCCGCCCCUGCACACCUGAUUCCAUUUUGGAUGUAGUUGCUGCCAUCAGUAUAGAGUGUCUCAUCUGGGUCUGGUCAAUGUGUGUCCAUCAGGUCUGGCUGGACAUUUUGGAGCAACUCCAAGAUAUCCUGGCAGUUGUGCAGGGACUCGGAGGAUCUUCAUCAGGAAGAAGGGUGGCUGGGUUUAAAGCUGAGGUUUUUAGGAACUUUAUUCUGGACCGAUUUAGAAAAAGGGCCUGUACUGGGUGAUGUGAAUGUUGGAGAGCCAGCGCUCUGGAGGGCUCUGAGCAAGGUUACUACAGCAUAUGGGGCUCUCACCUGUAAAUCUUGUCCCAGUGUAAGCUUUUCUGCUUCCUUAACCAGGAUUGCUGUGGCAGCGAUGGCUUGGAGGCAGUUUGGCCAUCCUCCCGCAGUCUUUUGGAUAGAUAUGCCACUCAUCGUUUUCGUGGCCUCAAAGUCUGAGUAAGCAUCUCUUUUGCUAUUCCCCUAACUUCAUGUACAAACAGUUAGGAUGGCUUUAGAACAUCUGGGAGGGCCAAUGCAGGUGCAGAGACUAAAUAUGUCUCUUGUUCUUUCUCAGUCUAAGUAAAAAAGUCCUUCUUUUCCUCCUGUACUAACAUCAGGGGUUGGGCUAGUUCAGAAAAACCAAGGAUCCAAAGGCGGCAAUACCCAACGGCCCUGAGGAAUUUUUGCACCCGAUGCUUAGUCUUGGGGUGAGGAAUCUGCAUGAUUGCUUUAAUUUUGUCCUGUGACAGAGUCCUUUUUCCUUCUUUUAGGUUAUAGCCCAAGUAAGUGGCUGAUGAGGUACACAUUUGGGUCUUUUUAGCUGACACCUGGUACCCCAAAAUUUUUAAGGUUUUUAACAAAUCUCUGCUUGGCUGUUCACAUUUAGUCCUAGUUUUGGUUGCUAUCAGGAGAUCAUUUACAUAUUGUAAAAGUACAGUCUCAGGGUGUUGCUGCCUGUAAGCUGUGAGGUCCCUGCCUGUAAGCUGUGAGGUCCCUGCUUAGGGCCUCGUCAAAUAGAGUUGGAGAGUUUUUAAAUCCCUGUGGCAACUGUGUCUUAGUCAAUUGUCCUGAAAAAUCUCCUUUCUGGGUCUGACCAUUUAGAAAUAAAAAUUGGUUGGCUUACCUUGGCCAGUAGCAAGCUGAAGAAGGCAUCUCUGAGGUCCAGGACAGUGUAGACUUGGUGAGAAGGAGGCAGUGAACUGAGAAGAGUGUAGGAAUUUGGUACCAUGGAAUGAAUAGUUUCCACUCUCUUGUUGAUUUUUCUUAAGUCUUGUACCUGUCGGUAGUCCUUUGUCUUAGGUUUCUGGACAAUCAGCAAUGGCAUGUUCCAGGCUGCUUGACAGGGAAUCAGGAGCCUUUUUAGCUUCUAGUCUGAUAGGAUACUGUAGGAUCUGCACAGGGGUGGCAGUGCUGGUGAGCUGCACUAUAACAGGUGGCUGGUGCACCGCUAAUCCAGGAGAAUUGGUUUCUGCCCAAACCCCUGGGAUUUUUUUUUUUUUUAGUCUUGUGAGGAAAUUGAAAGGUGAGGUAUGGGUGUCUUGUUAAGAGCAGGUAUUUUCCCCCAAAUGAUAAGUAUAUAAUAGCUUCUGUCCCUUUAAAUGACAGGUUGGCUGUGCCUUUCUGGAAAGAAAUGGUGGCUUGCAAUUUUUGUAGCAAGUUUCUGCCCAAUAGGGGAUAGGGGCAUUUUGGCAUUACAAGGAACUAGUGAGUUAUUGUCCCUUAAGUCAGUUCUCAUUAGAAAUUGGCCCUUCAGUUUCCAUUCCUGGGGGCUGCUGUUGUUUAGGAAGUGGAGCUCUUGGGGGUUGUUGUCCAAGAGCUUGAGGCCUUAGGCACCUCGAGACUCUGACACAUGUCAUGUCACCAUGACUCUUGUCAACCUUUUAUCUUGUUUUUCUCUGGGGGGAGGGGGUCCUCUACUAUUGUAGACACUUUGAGCUAUUUUACCAAUUUUGACAGCAUAUUUCCCUCAAAUCCUUCUGUCUCUAACUUUCUCCUAAUAUCUGGGGCCUAUUGAGUCACAAAAGUAAUGUUAAGAGCUCUUCUGUUUUCUGGAGCCUCUGGGCCCAUCGGUGCAUACACAGGAUGAGCCUUGGGAAGGCGCUCCAGGAAAGCCGCUAGGGGCUCAUCUGGGCCUUGAAUUGUCUCACUUACCUUUGCCAAUUUGGUGGGUUUUCUAGUGGCUGCUUUGACCUCUGUCAGUGGAGCCUGGUGGCACUGGUCAGUCACCUCCUUACCUGUCCAACUGGGAUGAACUGAAGGGAAAAUGAGUUCCACAUGAGUUGGAUCAUCAGAGGGUUGGCCAUCAACACCGAGAGAAGUUUUGGGACUUUUCUUCUGAUUUUAACAGAGAAAUCACUAGUAGAAAAAGGAACAUGUAUUAUGAAAGGGCUUUCUGUUUUCUCCCGAUGUGGUAGGGGGAGCCUGAUGGAGGGGAAGUGUGGGGACCAGAGUAGGAGAGAAAGAAUUGGAUAUAGGAUGGGAAGUCUUAGGCAUCGAGGGGGGAAUCCGUGCCUGAGGGACAGAGGGAUCCGGAGGAGGAAGAUCCUGGUCCUCAGAGCUCUCUUGUAGGACCUGUUUCUUCAGGGAGGAAGGUUUUGUUAGUCAUACAGUUUCAGUUUUGUUUUUCUUAGCUGUUCCUGUAAGGCAAAAUCUUAACCAUCUUGGCUCUUUUAGGAGGAUUUCAAUUCAAACCUGUGUAUAGGGCAACUGAUCUGGAUGGCCAGGCUGCCUGGAGAUGACUGAAUUCGAUAGGUGGUGGAGAGGCCAGUGGUCCCCUUUUGGGGGCCAUCUGACUUAAAGGCUGGCCAGGCUAACUCACAAAGUUUUCUGAGAGAGGAAACAUUACAUGAUGUUUUAUAAUUAGUUGUUUUCUCUGAAAACUCUUUAAAGUUAGACAAGAAGACAUUUAAGGAGUGUACAAAAUGAACAUGAAGUGGACUGAUUUUGCUCAUAAUGAGACUGAGACUAACAAUGAGACGCACAACAGACAAGGCGCCAUGAACAAACCUAAUUGACCAGAGAUUUAGAUGGGGUUUCCAACCCCCGGGGUCUUUAGCCCCAGAUGGGCCACUGAGUGACACCUUGAUGCUUCCCUGGACUGGGAAGUAGGUGCUGCGUCCAGCCUUCACUGAUGUCCCCAGACUGUGGCUUCACACAAACAGAGUUUUUCUUCUUUCCCGGGAGAACUAAGUCACAGGUGCAAAUUGCAAGUGCUUUCAAAUAGGCAGUUUGCAGGUUUGGCAGGAGCCAAUGAGGAGAGGACCUGGGGCCUUCCCCAGGUUGUCUCCGGCCCACCAGGUCUCCUGGGUGUUUCUGAGCAUUCUCCUACUUAUGAGAAGAGAAAUAUCUCUUUCAUCUCCCUGGGGCCUCCGAGAUGUUAUGGGGAGCCGCCUCAGAAAAUACUGUAAGUCUGAAUUCAAACAAAAGAGAGCUUUAUUUACCUGGCCAGGGAUGUCUCCCACCUGUAGAGACUGAUGCUCUGUGGGAGAACAGCAAUUUCUUGGCCUGUGUCUUGGGAAUUUAAGGACCAAAAAUCACAACUCCAGGGCUUUUCUCAGUGUCAUGCAAGCAAGCAAGUUACAGAAGCUAAAAAAAAGCAGUUAGCUUAACUGCAUCUCGGGUCCAAACAAGCGUUAGACAACCUUAUCCUGAGUUUCAGCUGAGCAGGGACAAUAAUCUAUUUUAAAGUCAUGUAGACCCAUGACUGUAGUCAAACCAGAAUGCAGCUCACCAUGACCACCACCAUCUCCUGAGUUGGGUACAUUCUGUGGGGUACAAAGUACAGAAAAACAAUUUUAAAAGAAGACAGCUUUCAUUUCUGUUUCUCAGAAAUGGGUCACGCAACAGUUUUUUUUUAUAGAAGACCUGUCUAUGCCGGUUCUUGCUUUAUAAUUGUCUUAUCUCACUUAUCAAAAUCUUAUAUCUAUAAUCUAUAUUUUUCACUAAUCUAUAACCUGUAACUUAGAUUCUUACUGAUUUUAUUGAUUAGUUUACACCACAACAAUUGGGUUAUUCUCUGAACCUUCUUGCAUGGUCUCGUGAGCUUUGGGAGACACUUCACAUUCAAACCAUAAUACCCUGUCAAAAAAUAAAAAAGGUCUGGGGGUGGUGGCUGGGUGGUUAAGCACCCCUGGGUUCAAUCCCUGGUACAAAAAAAAAAUCCCCCAAACAACCCCAUUAGCAAACUUCAUUAAAUUCCUUAAACAUUUUAAGCCAUAUUUACAUGUUUUAAUAAUUCUCUCUCCGGGACGUCACUCUCCACUUAGGCAUUUUCAAAUCCAAGCAGUGGGGGCUGGGGAUGUGGCUCAAGCGGUAGCGCGCUCGCCUGGCAUGCGUGUGGCCCGGGUUCGAUCCUCAGCACCACAUACAAACAAAGAUGUUGUAUCGCUGAAAACUAAAAAUAAAUAAAUAAAUAUUAAAAAUUCUCUCUUUAAAAAAAAAAAAAACAAAUCCAAGCAGUGAAGUCUUGCUCAGCACAAUGUAAUUGAAAAUGUUAUCAAUGUCAUAAAUCAAGUCCCUUUGAGCAAGCUAAUGAUGUUUACUGACUAUCAAAUCCCUUAUACCUCCAAAAUUAAAAUCACAUGUCUUCUUUCAGUUACACACUGCAGACUAAUAAAACCACAAAGUUAAUAUACACCAGAUUCUGUUGUGUGUUGAAGCAUCCUAGAUUAAUCCAUAGGUUGUCAUGAUAGGCCCAGAACUGCUGAACAUGGCUGAAAUAGUAGUACUAAGAGUUUGAUUUAUUUUAUCCACUUAUUUAUUUUUUAAUAGAUUUAAAAUCCCUUACGAGUUGGCUGGCUUUGGGGAUCAAAGAUUCAGAAUGGUGGUCUCAUCAUGUGAAGAUGGUAGCAUAGUGGCACUCCCCUACUCCACAGAAAGUCUUAAUUAAGCCUCUCCAGAAAUCUUCACCACAAUUGAUCUUAGGACUAUCAGCACAAGAAUCUCUACAAAAGAAUUCAAUGUAGUUAAACUUCUUAUAUCCUGUUGUUCUGUCUUACUUGGCUUGGAAGAGAUCGGCACUCCAGGUGCUGAACACCCCUUUAUUAGUUUUUCACAAACAUUUAUGGACUACCUAAAAUAACAACACAUAUAAUAGUUUGUAGAAGUGUGCUUGAAAAUACAGAGUAUGAUAAGAAAAACAUACUUUUAACUUGGCCUCUGGUGCUUCACAGAGAUGUUUACAUUUCAAAGAGAAGAGGUUACUAAUUGGGCUCCAAUUGGGCUGAAUUCAGGGUUCAGGGGGAUUGAUUGAUUAUAGGGAAAGCUUUGCCCUCUGAACCUGGCUAUAGCCAAAUAAAUCUGCUUCCUUCUCCUAUUUGGUGUCUUUUCUCAUCUGUCCCCUGCAACAUUUUACCGUUGAGGUGUGUACACUUCCAGGUGAUUCCACCCAAUUGACUCUCUUCUUUGAAACAGGGAUCCCUGAGCCCAUGCCUUUUGUGUGACCUACAUUACUCGCCCCUGGACAUCUUUUGUAUAUCACACAUGCCCAUUUUUUAAGGUCCCUGUUUCAGCUCACUUUAAAUGAUUGGGCAGAUGGAAUUUGCUACUCUGGCCAAGAUGAAAAUUAAUUGUUCCUAUGUUGGUGAGAUGGAUUCCCUGCCUCUCUCCCUGUCUAUGUGGACCGUUCCUUUAUUUUGUAUUUUAAUCUGCCUCUCACUAUACCUUUCUAGGACUUUGUUGACAGCCUCAUGAAGGGCAAUCUAUGAAAAACAGUUCCUCUCUGGAUCUUGCCCCCUUAGCAAGAUCUGAAUGACCGUAGUGAGUCCCCAGCCCGUCUCAUGUCCUCAGGUGCUGACCAGCUCAGAGCUGUCUGGACUUGGGCACAUGAUUACAGGUAUUAGUCAGCUUUCCAUAGUGUGAUGGAAUACCUGGGAUGAUUUGUAAGGAGGAAAGAUCCACUUUGGCUCAUGAUUUCAGAGGUUUCAGUAAGUAGUUACAUGGUAUAUUGCCUUUGGGUCUGUAGGGGGCAGCAUAUAAGGUAGAGGGUGCGUGGUGAAGGUCUGUUUACCUUAUGGCCACCAGGAGGCAAAGGAGGGUAAGGGCCCCAUGCCAAUACCCCCUUCAAGAGCACGCCCCCAGUGACCUAACUUCCUUCCACCAAGUCCUACUCCCUGAAGGUUCCACCACCUCCCAGCAGUGCCACAGGCUGGCAACCACACUGUCAACACAUGGGCUUUUGGGGACAUUUCAUAUCCAAAGCAUAACAAUACAAAGACUGAACGUAGAUUAGACUUCCUGAGGUGGUGAGGAGAGAUGGGGGACUUGGCCAGUUCUUCUCCUGUGCCAGGCCCUUUGGUGCGUCCACAGGUAAUGUGAGUGGUGAGGGUAUCUCUGAAUCUAAGACUCCAAAGCUCUCCCACGCAGCCUAGAGUAGGGUCUGCCCUGUGUCCCUGAGGGAAGUAAUGCAACUUCUUGUAACACCACUGCCUGGCAAGUGAAACAAAUGGGAUCAAGUCUCUCUGCCACUUACCGGCUGGGUCAUCUUGGGCAAAUGACUUUCUCAACUAGGACUGAUAAUGCUUCUUUAUUCUGGUCCUGGUGCAUAGCAGGCUUCUAAUAAGUAGCAGUGAGUACUGUUACUACAGGUUUUUUUUUUUUUAAUUAGCUAUGUUAUUUUAGAUAUUCUUAUUUGUUGUUUUUUGGUACCAGGGAUUGAAUCCAGGGGCGCCUUCCCAAUGAGCCACAUCUCCAGCCCUGUUUUAUUUAGAGAUAAGGUCUUGCUGAGUUGCUGAGGAGCCUCACCAAGUUGCUUAGUCCUCACUAAGUUGCCGAGGCUGGCUUUAAACUUGCAAUCCUCCUGCCUCAGCCUCCCAAGCGGCUGGGAUUACAGGUGCGUGCCACUGCAUGUGGGAAGCCAUUCUCGCACGUGAUUUGAGUUACCUCCCUGGUUGGGUGAGAGGCGCUUAGACAACUGUGUCAGAGCCUUCCCCACCCUGUCCCAGGUGCGAGGGCUUGUCCAUGUGGAGGGGUGCCUGGCCACUGACCCGAAGACCAAUCACUGACCCUGACCUUGGAAUGCUGCCCCCCUCCACUUUCAUUGGAUGAGAUUUUCCCUUUAAUUUUUUGUUCCCCAAUAAAAGCCCACUCCCUGGCAUGCUCUCCCUCUCUCGCUGGCCGCUUGUGUCAACCUCGCCACCGCAUUAGGUGGCUGGAGGCGGGAGCUAGGAGAAGCCGUCUCCGGAGCUGGGCAUUAAAGGUAACGAGAGUAUGUCUCUUUAAUUUUAAAACUCACUAGUUAUUUUCUAUGCUUUGAACCUCUUUUAUGAAGCUCGUGUGCUGGUCGCGCGGCAGAACUGCACCUGGCUAUUUUAGAUAUUCUUAAAGGAAAAAACCUGAUUAUAGAGAAAUACCAUUAAGAAUAUCCCUCCUUCAAUUCUAUGUGCUCCCACUCAAUAUCUAUGUCCUAAUCCCUGGAACUUGCGUUGUUGUCAGAGGGGACUUUGCAGAUGUGAAUAAGUAUCUUGAGAAAGGGAGCUUAUUCUGCGUUAUUUGGAUGAGCCCUUAUGAGAGGGUGCAGGAGCAUCAGGGUCAGAGGAGGUGGGACAGUGGAAGCAGAGGUUGGGAUGAUGAGAGGCCAUAAGCCAUGAAAUUCAGGCAGCCAUUACAAGCUAGGAAGCCAAGGCAGGGGAUUUGCCCCCAGAAAGAACAUAGCCCUGCAGAUCCGUAUUGGGUUUCUAAUCUCCAGGACUAGAAGAUGAUAAAUUCAUAUUGUUUUAAGCCACUACAUUUGUGGCAAUUCGCUGCAACCACUGAAGUGGCACCCCCUUCCUCCACAGAAAAGCCCUCUUCACCAUGGCUGAUUUUAGGACUGUCAGCAAAAGAGUCCAUUGUAGAUAAACUUCCUAUUUUCAUGUCACCCUGUUUACUUGGCCACUGGCCAAGAAGAUACCAGCACUCCAGGUGCUGGACACCCCCUUACUAGUUUUUCACAAACGUAUCCAGUAUAGUACUUUGAAGAAAUGUGCAAACAAGGCCUCUGGCCUUGAGCGAGGCUUCACAGGGAUGUCUACAUUUUUAAGAUAAGUUACAAAUGGGCCCAUGGUAACAGCGGGCAGGGGGAGGAAAGAAAGAGGAGAAGAAGCUCUUCCCUUCUCAGGCAUUGUCCUUAAAGAGUUAACCAGUGAAAGAAAAAGCUGCUUUUAUGUGAACUUCUGCAGACUGUGAACUUCUGCAGACUGUGAACUUCUGAGCCCCUCCCCUUACACGCUGGGUAUAAAACUGAAACUCCCUGAACUCAGGGUUCAGGGGAUUGAUUGAUUACAGCAAAGGCUGUACCCUCUGAACCUGGCUGCAGCCAAAUAAAACUGU
rnacentral:lncRNA from 1 species